rnacentral:rRNA from 1 species
CAUGGGGCGGCCUACACAUGCAGUCGAGCGGUAGCACAGAGAGCUUGCUCUCGGGUGACGAGCGGCGGACGGGUGAGUAAUGUCUGGGAAACUGCCUGAUGGAGGGGGAUAACUACUGGAAACGGUAGCUAAUACCGCAUAACGUCGCAAGACCAAAGUGGGGGACCUUCGGGCCUCAUGCCAUCAGAUGUGCCCAGAUGGGAUUAGCUAGUAGGUGGGGUAACGGCUCACCUAGGCGACGAUCCCUAGCUGGUCUGAGAGGAUGACCAGCCACACUGGAACUGAGACACGGUCCAGACUCCUACGGGAGGCAGCAGUGGGGAAUAUUGCACAAUGGGCGCAAGCCUGAUGCAGCCAUGCCGCGUGUGUGAAGAAGGCCUUCGGGUUGUAAAGCACUUUCAGCGGGGAGGAAGGCGGUGAGGUUAAUAACCUUGUCGAUUGACGUUACCCGCAGAAGAAGCACCGGCUAACUCCGUGCCAGCAGCCGCGGUAAUACGGAGGGUGCAAGCGUUAAUCGGAAUUACUGGGCGUAAAGCGCACGCAGGCGGUCUGUCAAGUCGGAUGUGAAAUCCCCGGGCUCAACCUGGGAACUGCAUUCGAAACUGGCAGGCUAGAGUCUUGUAGAGGGGGGUAGAAUUCCAGGUGUAGCGGUGAAAUGCGUAGAGAUCUGGAGGAAUACCGGUGGCGAAGGCGGCCCCCUGGACAAAGACUGACGCUCAGGUGCGAAAGCGUGGGGAGCAAACAGGAUUAGAUACCCUGGUAGUCCACGCCGUAAACGAUGUCGAUUUGGAGGUUGUGCCCUUGAGGCGUGGCUUCCGGAGCUAACGCGUUAAAUCGACCGCCUGGGGAGUACGGCCGCAAGGUUAAAACUCAAAUGAAUUGACGGGGGCCCGCACAAGCGGUGGAGCAUGUGGUUUAAUUCGAUGCAACGCGAAGAACCUUACCUGGUCUUGACAUCCACAGAACUUUCCAGAGAUGGAUUGGUGCCUUCGGGAACUGUGAGACAGGUGCUGCAUGGCUGUCGUCAGCUCGUGUUGUGAAAUGUUGGGUUAAGUCCCGCAACGAGCGCAACCCUUAUCCUUUGUUGCCAGCGGUUCGGCCGGGAACUCAAAGGAGACUGCCAGUGAUAAACUGGAGGAAGGUGGGGAUGACGUCAAGUCAUCAUGGCCCUUACGACCAGGGCUACACACGUGCUACAAUGGCAUAUACAAAGAGAAGCGACCUCGCGAGAGCAAGCGGACCUCAUAAAGUAUGUCGUAGUCCGGAUUGGAGUCUGCAACUCGACUCCAUGAAGUCGGAAUCGCUAGUAAUCGUAGAUCAGAAUGCUACGGUGAAUACGUUCCCGGGCCUUGUACACACCGCCCGUCACACCAUGGGAGUGGGUUGCAAAAGAAGUAGGUAGCUUAACCUUCGGGAGGGCGCUACCACUUUGGGUUCCCGG